GUGGGUAUAGCUCAGUGGUAGAGUGUGUGCUUAGCAUACUCAAGGUCCUGGGUUCAAUACCUAGUACCUCCA
rnacentral:tRNA from 1 species